rnacentral:tRNA from 1 species
UCCGGGGUGGUGUAGUUGGCUAGCACAUCAGGUUUUGGUCCUGAGAGCGAGGGUUCAAGUCCUUCCCCCGGAG